rnacentral:rRNA from 1 species
AACGAACGCCGGCGGCAUGCCUAACACAUGCAAGUCGAACGAGACCUUCGGGUCUAGUGGCGCACGGGUGCGUAACGCGUGGGAAUCUGCCCUUCGGUUGGGAAUAACUGAGAGAAAUUUCAGCUAAUACCUUAUAAUGUCUUCGGACCAAAGAUUUAUCGCCGAGGGAUGAGCCCGCGUAGGAUUAGGUAGUUGGUGGGGUAAUGGCCUACCAAGCCGACGAUCCUUAGCUGGUCUGAGAGGAUGAUCAGCCACACUGGGACUGAGACACGGCCCAGACUCCUACGGGAGGCAGCAGUGGGGAAUAUUGGACAAUGGGCGAAAGCCUGAUCCAGCAAUGCCGCGUGAGUGACGAAGGCCUUAGGGUUGUAAAGCUCUUUUACCCGGGAUGAUAAUGACAGUACCGGGAGAAUAAGCUCCGGCUAACUCCGUG